GACGAACGCUGGCGGCGUGCUUAACACAUGCAAGUCGAACGGAAAGGCCCUGCUUUUGUGGGGUGCUCGAGUGGCGAACGGGUGAGUAACACGUGAGUAACCUGCCCUUGACUUUGGGAUAACUUCAGGAAACUGGGGCUAAUACCGGAUAGGAGCUCCUGCUGCAUGGUGGGGGUUGGAAAGUUUCGGCGGUUGGGGAUGGACUCGCGGCUUAUCAGCUUGUUGGUGGGGUAGUGGCUUACCAAGGCUUUGACGGGUAGCCGGCCUGAGAGGGUGACCGGCCAAAUUGGGACUGAGAUACGGCCCAGACUCCUACGGGAGGCAGCAGUGGGGAAUAUUGCACAAUGGGCGGAAGCCUGAUGCAGCGACGCCGCGUGCGGGAUGACGGCCUUCGGGUUGUAAACCGCUUUCGCCUGUGACGAAGCGUGAGUGACGGUAAUGGGUAAAGAAGCACCGGCUAACUACGUG
rnacentral:rRNA from 1 species